UGGGGAAUUUUGGACAAUGGGCGAAAGCCUGAUCCAGCAAUGCCGCGUGUGUGAAGAAGGCCUUCGGGUUGUAAAGCACUUUUGUCCGGAAAGAAAUCCUUGGCUCUAAUACAGUCGGGGGAUGACGGUACCGGAAGAAUAAGCACCGGCUAACUACGUGCCAGCAGCCGCGGUAAUACGUAGGGUGCAAGCGUUAAUCGGAAUUACUGGGCGUAAAGCGUGCGCAGGCGGUUUGCUAAGACCGAUGUGAAAUCCCCGGGCUCAACCUGGGAACUGCAUUGGUGACUGGCAGGCUAGAGUAUGGCAGAGGGGGGUAGAAUUCCACGUGUAGCAGUGAAAUGCGUAGAGAUGUGGAGGAAUACCGAUGGCGAAGGCAGCCCCCUGGGCCAAUACUGACGCUCAUGCACGAAAGCGUGGGGAGCAAAACAGGAUUAGAUACCCCUGGUAGUCCACGCCCUAAACGAUGUCAACUAGUUGUUGGGGAUUCAUUUCCUUAGUAACGUAGCUAACGCGUGAAGUUGACCGCCUGGGGGAGUACGGUCGCAAGAUUAAAACUCAAAGGAAUUGACGGGGUCAUAGCUGUUUCCU
rnacentral:rRNA from 1 species